rnacentral:rRNA from 1 species
GUAGGUGACAAGCGUUGUCCGGAUUUACUGGGCGUAAAGAGCGCGCAGGCGGUCGUUCAAGUCGAGUGUGAAAGCCCCCGGCUCAACUGGGGAGGGUCACUCGAUACUGAUCGACUUGAAGGCAGGAGAGGGUAGUGGAAUUCCCGGUGUAGUGGUGAAAUGCGUAGAUAUCGGGAGGAACACCAGUGGCGAAGGCGACUACCUGGCCUGUUCUUGACGCUGAGGCGCGAAAGCUAGGGGAGCAAACGGGAUUAGAUACCCCGGUAGUCCUAGCCGUAAACGAUGGACACUAGGUGUUGGUGGUAUCAACCCCGCCAGUGCCGAAGCUAACGCAUUAAGUGUCCCGCCUGGGGAGUACGGCCGCUAGGUUU